CGGGAGUAGGUCGAUGGAGACUGCACAGAAUCCUCAGAGAACAUUCGCUGCAUUGCAGUCACAAUUUCAUCAUCAUCAUCAUCAUCAUCAUCAUCAUCAGGGGUAGACACAGCAGAAGGAAAUGAUGCAGACUUAGCUAAACACUUUGAAGGAGGUUUGCUUUUCUGCCUCUGUUCGAGCAACUCUUCCACUUUACUCGUGUUUGUAUCGUUAGAUUCAUUAACAUCGUUGAAACAUGUACGAACCAUAGCAUGCUUUAUGUCACUUAGAUUUUCUACCUCUCCA
rnacentral:lncRNA from 1 species